rnacentral:lncRNA from 1 species
ACUUGAACAGGAUCUGUUCUAUAGGAUCGUACCGCUGCAUCCUUGACUAAUAAGGAGGCAAGCACUUAAGCCUGGUUGAUGAGUCAUGACCUGUGGGCCAGAGCGUGAUUAACGGCCAGGAUUGGCUUGAUGGCUGUAUCCAGUGCUGUAGAGGAUCGUUCCUGGCUAGGCCUGCUUAGCUUGGAUGGCCCAUGGGUUGUCUGACAGGCUCUUUUUUGUUUUUUUUGUUGUGCUGCAUUUGAAGACAAUUUGUGCAAAAUGUUAUCUUUGACAGCUGUCUUCUUGCUGAACAUUGCUCUCGAGUUAAAAGAGGCGGAUCUCUUGCUCGGUUUUGCCAUUAUUAAUAGAUUAUAAGCUUUCCUUUUCCUUUUUGCUGUGCUGCAUUCAAGGUAAUUGAUGUCAACAGCUGUCUUUUCCCUCAACAUUGAUUUCUUGCUCGUUUUUUUGUCAUUCAUACAGCAAGGAAGUUGUUCCUUUUGCUCUGCUGCAGCCUGCAUUUGAACAACUAUCUUUUCCCUCAACAGCUGCUCAACAUUGUUCUCAAUUUAAAAGGGGCAGAUCUCUUGCUCGUUUUUACCAUUAAUAGAGCAAGACUUGUUGUACAUUUUGUUUGUAAGUUGCUUCUUCAUCUCUGACUGUCCGCGAAUCUGCAUUAUUGUUGAGAAAUGGUGAUUCUUGGUGCUUGAUUUGUAAAAAGUUCACAGUUGUUUUAAUCUUUCUUUUUUGGUUCCAGGUACAAAUGAGUUACAUUAAAAAAACCAUACGUUUCAAAAAAAAAAAGAGUAAAACUGAGUCCCUGAACCUUGUGAGAGAUGUGCAUAAUACAGCCGUAUUCAGACUUCAGAGCAUGUCUGCACUCUGCAGUGCAAGUCUCAAUAUCUGCCAACUGCAAUGCAAAAGCUAUAGUCCUGCUGUUUACUUGGCCUUCAGCUCUGAGCAGCAACAACAUGCCUGUAUUAAAACCCUGCAUGCUUCUGUUUGUCACUGGCUGGCACAGGAUCCAUGGAGAAACCCAUGUGGGCUGCGGCCCAAUACAGAAUGCUAAUAAUCUACAUCUCUGUGAACUGAACCCUGACAAAACACUAGCUAAGAUGGUGCCACCUCGCAAACGCAAACAACUAUCAGCCAGCUUAUAAUGCUGAUCCUCGGCACUCACAGCACGACCUUACUUGAACAGGAUCUGUUCUAUAGGAUCGUACCGCUGCAUCCUUGACUAAUAAGGAGGCAAGCACUUAAGCUUGGUUGAUGACACAUGACUUGUGGGUCAGAGCGUGAUUAACGGUUAGGAUUGGAGCUGAGAUGCCUGAUCUGUGGCUGUAGAGGAUCGUUCCUGGUCAGACUUGGCUUGGCUGGGGUGGCUCACAGGUUGUCUGACAGGCUCACAUUUUUUUUCUCCUCUUUUGAAUCUGUUUUGCUAGGUAGACUUGGCAACUGGCAUGUGUAUGCUCAUCGAUAAAUACCACGAUUACUGCACAUAAGAAAGCACAUCGCUGCAUUUUUCCUAACGACACGUAUAUUGCCCUGAAAAUUCCACUACUUUGCUCCUCUUCUGAAUCUAUUUAGCAAGUUAGUGAUUAGUGAUUGUGUGGCAACUGGCAUGUGUAUGCGCAUCGAUAAUAAAUACCAUGAUUACUGCACAUAAGAAAGCACCUCGCUGCAUUUUGCUAAUGACACGUAUUUUGCCCUGAAAAUUCCAGUACUAUCCCAGUGGCCAGUGGCGCGCCCAGUGCCCAGCUUAACUAGAGGCUUCAUCGGCGGACACCUAACUGAACACUCAGACACAGCUUAUCCAUCCACUUAGCCGCAGACUGUUCCUGAAACUGAAAGCCUCCUUCCUGACGCCUUUUGCGAUGAAAUGAGUGUUGUAUGGCCGGUGUGGCGGUGCUGCAGCGGGGACAGAGCCUGAUGGAGCCAUAUGUCUCGCUGCAACUACAAGCAGAGCUAGGCUUUCGGUGUGGUACCCCAGCACCAGCACCAGCACGUAUCUAAUCAUCCCCCGAUGGAUCGGAUCCUUUUCGUGAUCUAUCUCUACUAGUCCCAAAAGCCGCCGUGUGCACAUGGCAAGGAUGGCACAAAGCCCCGGGCCAACUCGCCGUGUCUCCUGCUGGAGGAUUCCUCUGACACCGGCCAUGGCUUGGCUCCACACACACACAGAUCCUUUGCAAGUCUCAAACCCAAUUGCGUGCAAGAUGCAGCGCGCUCGCCUCUGAAAACAAGACUGGAGGCAGUAGGAUCUUAUGAGCAGCCCUUUGACUAUCUGAGAUGAAUGAUUGAGUCCGGUUGAAUUCACAGUUCUUCAGACCUGCAGCUUCAGCAGCAGCUAAUAGUAACGUGAUCACUCGCUGAAGUCCUGCCAAUGCUCGCAUGGCCAUGGCCUACAUGGUUGGUAGAUGCGCGUGUUAGUUUGCACCCUCAGACGACGAGACGACAGACUCCUCCAUGUUCUGUCUUGUGUCCUCCAAGUCCCAAUGUCGCAGGAAAAUGGCGGCAACACGGUUCAGGUCAAGGAGCAAUUGGCGGCCAAGGAAGCAAACCUCACUCUCUCGCUCUUCUGACUUUUUCCUUUCAUUCACGUACAGUACAGCUCUGAACGUUGCGCCGCAAAUCUUGGAGCUGCUCGAAUACACAGCGAUGUGUUGCUUCUCCUUUUGUCAACCGGCACUUAUGAUCCAGCUCCACAGAAACGCACGGAUUCGAAAUUUCGAAUCAAACAUGAUCGCACCAAGCAUCAUGCAUUCGACUAUAUUCGAGUUCGACGAGGAAUGAUUGAUGUCGAAACCUCCAACAACUGCCCUACAAAAAUUGCACGAAAACCACCUAGUACGUAGUAGUAGUAGCUAGUAGCUAGCUCGCUCUAGUCGAACUUGACCACUCAUUCAGUGUAGGCCGGAUCAGAGAGUCUGUUCAUUUGAGUUUUGAUCGAAUCUAUCAAUUAUUUAUUAUUAGUUUUUUUCUCUCAGAAUUAAUCAGCGAAUAUUACUUUUAACCAUAGCUUUUCACACAAGCGAACAAACUCUCUAGUACAAUAAAAGGAGAUGGCCAGCAGCUGGACAGCGGUCAUUAUAUUAGAAACUGGUCUCAGAUGUUCAUAUCGUCCACGCUAUGGCUGGUCCCUAAUACUAAGGCUUUGCAGUAUGCACCAGCAUGGUCUCCACCUCCAGUCAUCCACUGCAUUUGCCGGCGACGACGGGCAAUGCUGCACCUUCAAGGGAGAGAGCAUGCAGCUGACGUAAUGGGAGCGUCAGCGUGGAAGAACGAACGACGAAUGCACUCACGAACACUGCAAUCAUGCAAUGCAAUCUAGAGAAGACUCCAACUACAGCUUGCAAUUAGGCAAAUCAGCUAGAAAAAGUAUAUUCAAAAAACCAGAAAAAAGAAAAAAAAGGAAAAAAAGAAAUGGUAGUAUAUACUAGUAUAAAAAGGCGGAGGUCAAAAGGGGUUUGACCCGUGCACCCAGGCAGUGAAUGCGAUAGACACUGGCCUGCCUGAGCCUGACAGGCCCAUCCGGUUCGGCCCAUCUUACCUAACACAGCCACGAUGCGCCUCGUGGGCCCCGGAGGUCAGUGACGGACGGACGAGGAGAAUCUGUGGGCCUCGAGUCUGAGGUGGCGUCAGAGCCCACCUGAAACCCGAUGCACUGUUGGCAUGUGCAGCUUGGGGUCCAUGAGUGUUGACCGCCAUGUCGAUCCGUGUUUUUUUUCCCUCUCGCCCAGAUGGAGAGAGGUUUAAUUUUCAGCCGGUUCACACUCGCAACGUCAGUCAGUAACGAGUAAAGCAGGCAGCGAAACGGAUUUGGCAACCACGAAAAACAAGAGCCAUUAAAGAAAUACAUCUUCUUUAUAUGACCUUUUUUUAUUUUAAACUUAUUUGUAUGGUCUUAAAAUAAAAUUUUCUUCCUUUUAUGACCUUCUAUCUAUUUUUUACACCUAACGGUGUUAAGAGUAAAAUAACCAUUUUGCCCCUAGCAAAAAAUGCAGAGUUUUAUUUGUCUACUAUAUAUUUGUAGUAAUAUUGUGCAAAUAAAUUUGAAAAUGUACAUGUAAGUUUAUAGUAAAAUUACACAAAUAUGUUUUAAAAUGUACAAGUUUGUAGUAUUAUUACGCAAAUAAGUUUUAAAAUAUACUCGAGACAAACAAAACUCUGCAUUUUUUUGUUAUGAGUAAAGUGGUUGUUUUACCAUUGACUUAACACCGUCAAGUGCUAGAAAUGGAUGGAAGGCCAUUCAAGAAAGAAAAUUUCGUUUUGGAGCCAUAUAAGUAAGUUCAAAAUAAAAAAAAGUUAUAUAAGGAAGAUGCAUUUUUUCUAGAGUGUAAAUAUCUCGAAAAACAAUGUAACCACAGAGAAACAGAAGGAACUGAAAAGCGGCAGAGAGUAACCACAGCCAUACGUACUCUUGCUAGAUUAUUUUUCGGUUACACGAGCAGUAUCUGUCCCCCUUUUUUUCUUUUGCAGUUUGGCAUGCAUGUGUUGUCGUUUAAGUACGUAGUACGAGCGUGCGAUAUCGAUGUGCUGUAGAGGUAUCACACACAGGCUGGAUUGUGUGGAUCAUGGGUUGACUAGCUAGUACAGUAAUAUUAAAAAGCAGGGACUCUUGUACCAUGAAGCCAAGGCAUAUUCGCAUUCCGCAGUGUAUUCAAAUAGCAGAGACUCUUGUUCCCAAUUGCGUUCCAAGUGGGUGUUAUUAGUAAUAAGAGUGUUAACAACGUUCUACUAACAAGUAUAAGCGGCAGCACACACGCAUGUGAGUAGAUUCUGAAACGCUGUGCGGUUGACCUCUUGGUUGGACGGACGGAUCACGCACGCACCUAACCUGCUGCCCCCUGGAUCACUCUGGAUUGCAUGUUAGGCCGGUAAACACAUGCACAUCCACACUCAUCAGACAGACACACACACUCGCUCUCGUCGCACUGUCAUCAUUCGCUGAAUCAUCUGUUUAUUUAUUAUAUGAAAUCCCUUUGGCUUUUAUUUAUGCGCUGACAACGCGAGACGACGGCGACGCCGACAAGCGACGCAACGCAACCACCGCUAGGGUCCAGGGCGGAGGCCAAGCUUAGGUAGCCCGGCAGCUGUCGGACGGGGGAUCAACGCACGCAGACAACGCCACAGCCUACUACGAGGCGAGCAAAAGUCAGAGCACGCUUUGACCCAUUGCGACCCCGGUACAGGCAGACAACUGUUAGAAAAAAUAAUAAUGCCCCGAACCACAAUCACCAGGUCGUCGCCCCGGCCCGUGCCGUGUCAACGCCCAGCCUAACCGCGGCAAAAGCAGGUCGCACCCCCGCAUCGCGCGACGCGUCGUCCGACCCGCGCGCCGCCCCCGUCGCGUAGCUAGCAGCUAAGCUAGCACGAUCGGUCGGGAUUCCGGUGCUCGCCAGAGCCAGCCGCCACGUAAGUCAAACACGGCCGUCCGAUCCGAUCCGUCCGUUCCGUCCUAAUCAAACCCCUGCGAGACGCGACGCGCGAUGCGAUGCCAUCGGCCACGGGUCAACGUCGCCGAUCGACAUCGCUGUUGGGCUCAGCGUCGUCGUCGUCGAUCGUCUCGGUUCGGUGCACCGUGCGUGCACGUGUUACACAGCACGGUGCGGGGCGGAACGAGCUCUCGAUCGUCGUGUGGCCGCCGUGCUAGCUGCCACAAGUGCCGCGCGCACUAGCGAGGUGCUCGUACGGUGAACCCAGCUGACUGCCGCGGUGCCGCCCGUGGGCGCGCCGGCCGUGCGCAUGCAUGCGUGGGCCGGAACACGUCCGCGCCUCGCCGCCGUGCGUGCGUGUUCCGCACCGCUAGCGCCACCAACCGCGCGACGAUGUAGCCGGGCGGGCCUGAAUUGUUCUCUCUCCGGCCCGCACGGCGCGUCGAGUCGGAUCGGAUCGGAUAUUCGGAUGGGUUUUUGCGUCGUCGAUGGAGGUGCCCUCGGCGGCACGGCAGGGCAGGGCGCGCGGACGCGUUGCCGUCCACGGCGACGACUCCACCACCACCGAGUUGUGUGUUUUUCCGGUGAACGCACCGUGUGGCUUCGUUCUGAGCACGACCGCCGAGUGCAGGACAUGUUGGUGUCAUGGUGUGUGUAUAGGAGUAGAAUGUUAGUGGUUCAGAUGACAGACGUGGAGAGAAAUUACAGCCGACGAAUGAAGGAAGAUAGCACUUUGAAAUUACAAUGUUAGUAUAGUCUGCUUAGUAGAUGGAGAGAGGUAGUAAUUGAUUGCACGCGAUCGAUUGAUAAGCACAAUGAGGCAGGCUGCUGAUUAUUACGCGAUCCGGCCGAUCCAUGCAGGUGCAUGCGUGCAGUGCAGGCUAAUAAUAAUGUAAUCCGGCCACCACCAGCCCACUGCGGCGCUACUAGGCCAUUUUCCCCGUGAGGCCGUGACGAAAGGUGGUCGUCCCCAGGCAGGUUCUCUACCUCUCUCUCUGCCAAGACAAUGCAAGCUGAGAAGAAUUGUUUGCUGAAGCAGGCAGGAGGCAGCAGCAUAAGUAAAAGCUUACUAUGCACUGUAUUAUACUAGUGCAAGUAGCACACGCAGGUCAUCAUGAUGUCCGAUCCAUCCCUGAUUAGUGCAAAUUAGAAUCAAUCAGGAUUCGAUUCAGGCGUGUGUAGUCUGCGUGCUUGCUGGCAGCAAAUGAGUACAGGUUUGACCCCUCCGAUCCCCACCCGGACCAACGACGAUUAUCUUCUCUCUCUCUCUCUCUCUCUCUCUCUCUCUCGAUGGUCAAAGCUUUGUCGAGACGUGGCAGCGACGUUAGGACAAGAGAGAGAGAGAGAGAGAGAGAGCAGCAGCAGUAGCGGUAUGCAAUGCAGUAUUGCAGUGAGACGAGUAGGGCAGAGAGAGCAUGCACAUCACAGCGCAGGAGGACGGACGGUGUCCCUGUCCAGGCUUUUGACUCGGCCUCCGAUCGACUACACGGCCUACUCGAGUCGAUCCUACUGGGAGUGGAGGAGUGAUCGCGUGUGUGGUGUGGAAGAACGAAGGCCAGGCCGGGAUGGGAGAGACCUCUCAUCCAUCAGUGGGCGGCCGCCUUUUUCCGGGCACGCGUGCCAGGCCCCGGGCCCUCAUCACCUCCCUUUUGACGUGACGCGCCUCUUCGCGUUCGCCGUCGCUCUCCGUCGUCGUCGUCGUCGUCUCCGCCCUGCUCAUAAGCAUGACGUCAACGGGUCUAACUUCGUCCCCUGCUUGCCGUCGUCUUGCCCAGCUUCAUCCCUCGAUCGGCUUCCGCCGCCGCCGCAUGCAGUCGAGAAGGUCACGGGUCGUCGCCCCGCGCGCCUAGGCGUGUAGGCCGGCCGCCGUCUCGCGAUUCGUAGCAGAUCUCUUGGCAGGCACGCUAGCUAGCUGCCGUCGCCAGCCCAAGGCAAUGUACGUACUCGCCGUGUCGACACGACACGAGCAGCUUCGAUCGGCUGCCGCUACGUACGUGCUAGCGCGCGCGUAUUUCCGCUAGUUUCCACUUUUAUUAAUUAAUUUACCUGUGACUAUAUAAUUAUCCCGCUGUUGAUGGCCAUGAUGCUGCACGCUGCAGAUUUAGUUCGCUAGGCCAGGCGUAUCUGGCAGCUGCUGGACGUUUUUUUCGACGGCCAAAGAAAACGAUCGAGAGGAAUACAGAAUACGUACAGAUAUACGGUGGCUGCAUGCAGGUCCAUCGCGUCGCCUGGACUGGGGAUCGCAAAGGGAAUAUAGGUAGACGGAGAAAAUUCCAAAAAGAAAAGGGCAGAUCGGAUCAUAACAUAACAGCCAUGCCAAAGCCAAAUCAUGGGGGUGCCUAACGCGAUUUCUUUCUUUCAGCCCUCAUCGGUACGUUCUUCCAUCACAUCAACUUUACCAAACGAUGCCGAUAUAUUUGUGUCCCUAACAUAACUAUAUCUAAUUUUUUUUUUCGAGAUCAGGCCAAGCAGCUCCAAAACCCUCACACAUCUGUCAUGCAUUUUUAACGUCUGUUUCAGGUAAAAUUGCUAAUCGAUCAGAUCGAUAACAAUAAUAAUAUUACGCCGAAAGCCUCUGACUUUUCGAAUUAAAUCCAUCUCCCCGUACAUGUAUACGCAUGCAUGCUCCCUGCCUCCUUACCUUAUACUAUGAGUCUUAUAAAAACAAACCAAACUGUGAACCAUGCAUCAUUGUGUGUUCAUUCUGCCACGUACGCUCAAAUACAUAAUCAUUAAUUUAGCUACAGCAAACAUCAUGCUAUUUUUUUUUUUACAAAAACAUCAUGCUACAAUGACAGGCGUGCUAUAAAAUACGAUUUGGUCUGUGCAGCCCAUGGGCACCUGCGUAAUUUCACAUGUCACGAUAGCGAUGCCGACUUCAGCUUCUUGUGGUCGGAAAUUUUUAACAGUAAAAUAAAGGUGAUGUCGAGGAUUUAAAACGAUUAUCGCUGAGAAAGUAAUGCCCUAGCAGCUAGGGUUAUACAUAGAAAAAUCAGCCGGGGAGGAAGAAUAUUGCACACGCACAGACGCAAACAAGACUUCUGUGUGUACAAGAAUUAGGUGCAGCAGCAGCAGCAGCGCUGCUGUGAGCUGCUAACUCUAGUUCAGUACUAGCCCUUUUUGGUUAGGUAGUGAAUGAAAUCAUCAAACAUUCCAUCUUAUUGGUGUAAUUUAUUUGCUUACGUUGCUAUCACCCAAGACUAGCUAGCUAGCUUUAUUUCGGAUCGGAGGUCAAAGGCAUGCAUGCCUUUGAGAUUACUUAGAACUUAUUCGACAGUAUUGUAUUCUUUUGUAUUUGUUUUUUUAAAUUAAAAAGAAAGCUAUUAUACAUGCAUUAUUUAUUAUACUGAUUCGACGCAACAUCUAUGUCCUGAUUCUUAUGUGUGAAAAACAUGGGAGCAUAACUCAAUUGCUCAUCAAGACCUGUUCCUCUCUAUAUAUCCAGUUCCAAUAUAAAUGGGACAAUCUUCAACAGAAAAAUGUAAUUGGUCACUAAAAAGAUGCGCUGACUGGAGCAUGCUGCAUGCAGGAGAACGGACAUAAAAAAUAUGGGAUAGGGAAUUUAUAGCCAGAGAUGUGUGAUAUGUCUUGAACAGUGACAUGGAAUAUUUUGUCUAAGCGUAUUUGUUCUGCUGGCGACAAUAUAUAGGCAUACAUAUUAUGUCGUAGCAUUUCAAUGAUAAAAAGAAUAUAAAAAGGAAGACUGUGCUCUGAUCCCCUAUCUUGGUAUAUUACAAGUUAAAUAUGCUCACCCCGGCUAAAUUUGCACCGUGUAUAAUACAUAGUGAUAUGCCUACGAUUCAGUCUCUGAAAGGUAAAUUUUAAUAUGCUUAGAUAUAGCAUUUGUACAAAUAUUAUUUUUGAUGUGGUGAAUUUCCCAAAACAUCAUGUUUUGAAACCAUGCUUCGCUUUGUACCAUGUUCAAAGAGAUGAUGGUGAACUUAUGGCACCAAGUUCCAGUUCAAGAAUUCCCGUUUUGCACUGAGUAGCUAAAGCAUUAUAUUGCACUCUGCAUUAUACACCACAUUGCAGUCUUGAUGCAAAUCGUUUGAGAAUGCAUAGACCUGAGCAAAUAUGUGGUCAGCCCUGGCCAAACGGACUAAAAGUGCGCCUCAUGUUCUUAUAGGGCUAGACUUAAGGAGCACAGUCUCACCCAGUCAGGGCUCGACCCGAGAACGCCCGACGCUUUCCUAUUAACGGUAGCCCCAAUCCACAUAUUAUUUUGGUUCAAUCCGGUCUGCAAAUACUUAGGUCUAAACGUCCCAUAAGGUUGACACAAGUGUACAACAUGGUAGUGGCGGUGGAGGAGGAUGAGGAGGUUGGGUUUCUCAAAUGGUAGUCGUAAAAGGUAUAUAAUUUGUAGAUAAAACAUUUAUGUAUCAAUUUGAUGUAUUUGACUAAACAUCAUGAACAAAGGUAACCAUAUAUCAUGCUUUAUUUUACAUUUUGAAGUGAAAGAUUAAUCCUCAUCAUCACCGUUAUAUUUAUUUCAUGACAUAGAUCAAAUUUCUUGAAAUAUCAAGCUCACUUGUCAUAGUAAACCACAUGUAUGGACGUAUGGUUGACAUACGGUCCAAAGCUGGACCACUUUUGUCCUAGUGAGUGCUAGAAGUUGGUGUAAAGUGACAACUCUUGGCUAAAACCUAGUGCAAAGUGCAACAAAAAUGCUUAUAUAAAGUGAAAUAUCACCAUUUGCUUUCAAAACAUUUUCUUUGCAAAUCACUUUUUCAUUUUAUCUUAUGCGACAUAUGCAGCCAAAGCAUACGUGGACAUCAAAAGCCCUAGAGUGUGUGUUUGAUAAGGAUUCAAUUUCUUGAAGAAAAUGAUUUUGAUUCUUUGUUAAAUUUGGCUUUUCCAAUUUCUAGUUCCCCGAUCCGUUGAAUCCAAAAAAUAUUGAUGGUUCCGAAUAUAAAUCACAUAAUCGUUUGACAAUGAUUCUCUUCUCCCUUGUAGCAAUUUUCAUUGGUAGGGAUUCUACUGUUUGGAGAGAAACACUUUGGAAAAUCCCUAUCGAACACACCGUAUCUAUUGUAGUGGAGUGUUUCAAGAUUAUAUAACACUUGGCUUUCCAACCCAUGAUGGUGAUUCUAGGAUUAUAAUGCAUCUUCUAUCUCCAACCAUUUAAUUUCUACCGUUACUAUUGUAUAUAUGGCAGCAAACUUAAGCAUGGAUGACACCCAUCACGUCGACCUUCCUUGUCCCUUGCAACUCUCCAUCGCUAGUUCAUCACUCUAACCAGCUUUUAGGGCUAUCGCUAUGACACCCUAGUCAUGACAUCAAUACACCUCCCAAUUGGUCUCCUCCACCUUUUUGCACUCAUCAAUGAUCAUUGUCGCCUCAUCGCUCCAUCCUGCACCUGCCACCUCCUUUGCCAGAUCGGAUUGUCGCCAAUGGUCCUCUCUUUAAUGUCAUAGUGUCAGUGAAAAUCCCACUCCUUAAAUUAACCCCUAAACCCCUAACCUCACCAAAGUGUGGAGGAAGAUGACCAUAACUCGAGAAAAAGGACGUCUAUGGUUGAAAUCUGAUCUAACAUCAAAAAAUUUCUAGUGUUGAGGAAUCUCAAAUCAAUUGGUUGUUGUAUACUUUUUUCUUGACCCAUUUUAUCUUUUUUUUCACAGAUGAACCAUAAUCCUAAGAGCAACUUUUAGAGCCUCUCAAAAUUUCAACCUUUAUAUCUCUAUUUGAAUAGUCAUUUCAUGAAUAUUCUUUGUAUAUAUCUAUCGUGCUUCCAACAGUCUCUUUAAGUUUUAUUCUCUAUAUUCCAAUGGCUUACCCUAAAUUUUCUUCUGUGAAAAUAUUCAUAAGAGAACGACCACAUAUUGAAUUUAGAGGGUUAUCUAGCCUCUCCAUAAUAGAGAGCGAGAAGGGGGUUUUGAAGAACAGAAAAAACAGUGAGUGGUUUAAAAGUCUAUUGGAGCAUAAUUUUUUGAUCUGUUUUCUAAAGUUUUGUGAUAAAAAAUCCACGUAAAAAACCUCUUGGAGAUGCUCUAAGAAGUUACUACAAGACAAACAAAGUAAUACUACGUACCAGCUGCUAAACUAAUUGAUUGUUGUUCAAGUACUGAGAGUGAGAGUCUCAAACCAAUUGGUUCUUGUUUAGUUGUUUUUGACCCGGUUUAUCUUUUAUUUUUAUGAGAUGAACCCUAAUCCUAAGAAGUUACUACGAGACAAAACGAAGUAACACUACACUACCCACUAAACUAAAGCUAAGAAUAAUAAAGUUGCAUUUUUUUCAUUUGUAUGCAGAGAGAAGCAGUAGCAGUAGUACUACUACACUUAGGGUCGUUGAACUACCGACUGAUCAUGAUCAGUUGCACCAGAAUUAUCUGACGCAAUGCCGGAAGACCGCCUAACGACUCCAGCCGGUUAAGCUCAGCUGCAGCAGCUCCGGUCAGAAAGCCAGCCGAAAUUCUCCCCUCCGAUCCCCUUCCUUUCCAAAACGGUUUAUAUAUACACGACCCACACAUCCCCAUCCUUACCACUACUCAUCAGCUUGCUCAGCUUUCAGCUUUCCCCUCCCUCUGCAAGCUUGCCCAACCCAAUAAGCUAAGCAAGCACUCACCACACACUCUCUAGUAGCUAGCCAAGCUAGCCGCCCCUCGCACGCGUGCGCGCGCACCAGCGCAUAUCUAUCAUCAGCUAGCCAAGAAACGGAGGAGCAGAUCGAUCGGCCGACAUGGGGGAUCAUGCUGAGAUGUUGCAUGCCGCUCCGGCCAUGUACAACGGCGUCGGCGCCGGUGCUGCUGCCCCUCAUGGCGGGUGGUGGAAUACUACGGCGGUGCCCGCGACGACGUGCUCGACGGAGCUGGCCGGGUUCACGACGUGGUCGUCCGCCCUGGCUGCUAGCUACGACCUGGCGGCCGAGGGGGGAAAGGCCAAGUGCGCGGCCACCACUGCCUCGUCGGAGUCGCCCGGGAACAACAGCUCCGUGACCUUCCAAGAACCGGCAAGCGUCACGGAUCCUGCUGGCGUCGGAACCGCCGUGGUGCAGCAGCCUCUUGCUGGUUACACUGACUGGACCCAUCCGUAUAUGUAAGUCUGGUUAUAUUAUGAUUCUCAUAGAAUAUAGGCUCGAUUGGCCAGAAAAUCAUUUAUAUGAUGAUGCAGAAAUACUCUAUCACCUGGCUCUGAAAUCUAUGUAUAUAUGUGUUCGAACACAGGAGCAGUGGUGCUACUACUUUGCAUGGGUUUCUGCAAGAUGGUCACCAGCAGGACAUGAGCUCAACAACUGAGCAAAGCGCCAUGACGGCAUCAAGCCUGAUGAACCCUUCAUCCAAUAACCUAGCCCUGGCCCUGCAAGGUCACCAUCACCAAGAGCAGGACCACCAGCAGCAGAUGCUGUCCAGCUUCGGAUCCGAGCUGCUCUUGUCGCCGACCUCGCCCUACGGGUUCCAGUCAUCCCUGCUAAGAAGCCUCAUGGAGCCGACAGCAACGGCGGCGGCGAAGCCGCAGGCUUUGCCGGGGUACCAGCAGUAUGAUCAGUACCAGCAGAUGGGCAUGGGCCAGGCGAGGUUUCCACCGGCCGGAGCUACCAGGGAGGCACUUCAGUUCACCAACGACGCGCCGUUCUGGAACCCUUCUGCUGCUGGGUUCGGCGUGGCGCCGGCGCCGGCGCCUGACCAAGCUAGCAGCGUUCGUUCUGUCAAACCAUCGCCGACGGCUGCGCGUACUACAGCAACCCUUGCAUUAAAGGUAGGUAGAAAUAUAUACAUCUAAGAACUAUACUAAGAUGCAAACAUUUACUUGAAGACAACGGCAACAUUUGCUAGCUAGACCUAGACCUAAUAAGUAACCUUGGCGUGGUUAUGUCUGUGUAGACUGCGUUGGAAGGAGUAGGAGAGUCUGCUAGCUCAAUCAUCACCAAGAAGAAGGCGAACGGCGAGCCGGCCUUCAAGAAAUCGAGGCUCGAGACGCCGUCGCCGUUGCCAACGUUCAAGGUACGUAGUUGGUUUUCUUAAACAAACUUCACCUCAUUAGAUAUUAUAUUAUCAUUUGACGUUGCUGUAUAUCUAUAGAUCAUGAUUGAAAUUAAACCCCAUGCAUAUAUGAAUCUUAGAUAACUGAAGUUGGGCAUGUUCGUGCAAUGCAUUAAUUUCUGCAGGUUAGGAAGGAGAAGCUAGGGGACAGGGUCACUGCACUCCAACAACUAGUCGCCCCUUUUGGAAAGGUGAGGGAGGCUAGCUUUUGAUGAAUCUAUAUUACAAACAAAGCUAGUGCUUGGAACUAUGUAGUACUGCCAACAUCUAACAUCUUCCGUCUCUGCAAAAGACAUGUUCCUUUUCUCCUCCUUUGGAGAUCUAACCUCAAAUCUAUAAGCACAAUCUCUGAAAUACCUGAUUAUCUCUCGAUGCGCGUGCAGACGGAUACGGCAUCGGUGCUCCAUGAGACCAUCGAGUACAUCAAGUUCCUCCACGACCAAGUUGGUGUAAGUGUGUGUGCGCGAGUACUACCAUGAUUCCCCACCUUUAAUCAUAGCACAUCUGAAGCCUGAAGCACCGGCUAUAGCACGUUUUCUACACACGAAUCAUCAGAAGGGGACUGAUCGAUCGAAGGCAUUGACAUUGUGUUGUUUGCGCCUUGUUUCUCUGCAGGUCCUUAGUGCUCCAUACUUGAAGAACAACGGCCAUCAUCAAGUGCCCCACUUGAAGGUAGGUGCCAGUACCAGUGUCCACUGUGUAAGUGUGCAUGCUAGCUGCAUGCACGCUUGCUCUCCUUUUCAUUGUGAUGGAUCAUGGUACUUGCUGAACUGUUCAAGGGUGCUGAUGGCUUUAUAUGCGUGCGUGCGUGCGUGCCUUUGGUUUCAGAGCUCAAGUCCUGACAAGUCCAACAAGGACGACAACAGCCAUGCCGGCGAGGUAUCGCUCAAGGGCCGGGGGUUGUGCCUGGUCCCGAUAUCGAGCACGUUCGCGGUAGCCAGCGAGGUGCCCGUCGACUUCGUGUGGAGUACUCCAUUUGCUGCCAACUUUAGGUAGACGAAGAAGCCUCCAAAGCUCUGAUCAGAGUCGUCGAACGAGCAACUAGCUAGCUACCUGCAGCCUACCACAGAUCGAUCGACCUGGCCUGAUGAUAUAUAUAUAUAUAUAUAUAUCCAUGCAUGUUUCUUAGUCUAGUCCUAGCAGUGUAUGGUCAUGGUUCGUUAUCUCUCGUAACUGUAGUAGUACUAAGCAUGCAGCAGCUCUGGCAACGAAAAAGGAUUGCAGACUGAGCUUGCUAGCUAGAUGAACCUUUGGAAUGAGUCCUUGAAGACUUGGAUUCAUUCUCCAGGUUCAUCUAUCUAUCCAUCCGAUCCAUCAGGGAAUAAGGGAUCAGCUAAUAUAUUUUGAGAGAGGACACAACAAGUCUCUACUGAUCGUCAUCAGCUUCUAAUUAUGAUUGGUUGUUAGGUUGCAUCAUUGGGUAGUUGUACGUGGAAGGAUUUGUUAAAGAUGUGUAAUGGUUUCUAGAGUUUAAACUAGUGACAGACGGAAUGGAUCAAAGUGUGUAGCAGGUUUCUAUUGAUUGUACUACCAAAUAAAAAGUGGCAUCUCUUUGAUUGAUCGGAGCACGCUUUUGGAUAGCUUCUCUUUUGAAUCUAAACCACACACAUAUAUUUUGAUACUGUAAGUAUCAGCUUCAAAGAAUUUGUGCAGAUGUGCCUUUUGAGGUUAAAUUAUUCCAAUGCCGUAGUGGAUAUCAGCGCAUGCUUAACUUUUGAAUAAUAGCCAAUAUUCUGCUGCAUUUUUAUAUCAUGAUGUGGACACGUACUACACAAAUGCAUAUUAUAUUAAUUGAUGUAAGAGUAUACGUCUUCUAAUGCACAAGUUUGCUCUUGGUCUUAUAGUAUAUCACAUCUCUAUAUACUAAGUAAGCUAAUACCGAUUAUCAGUUUUCUAAUAAAAUGGUAAUGCUACCCAAGCAAAUAGUAGUAGUUCCCUUCAUUCCGGUAUGGAGAACUAACUCAUCAGGAAAGCUUGCAUGUAAUAAUCUCCACAAAACAACUCCUUUAUCUUCUAAGUUUCAUAAAAACAAUCUAGUUUUGCAUAUGUGAUCAUAUCAUAUACUCCCUCCGUUCCAAACUAAGUGUCAUUCUCAUUUCAUGAAGAGUCAAACAUCUUUAACUUUAACUAAUAAAUAUAUGCAAGAAAAUAUUAAUAUUUAUAAUUAGUAUCAGUAGAGGCUGUUGAAUCUAUUUUUAUAAUAAACUUAUUUAAAGAUAUAAAUAUUGCUAGUAAUUUUUUCCUACUAAUCUAGUCAAAUUUAAAAAGUUUGACCUGCACAAAUACCAUAAAGACACUUAUUUUGAGACAGAGAGAAUAACAAAUAACUUUAGCAAAAGAAUAAUUUAUUACCUUCUUAAUGAAAUACUAGCUAGUUCGGUAGUUCCUCCUAGGCUGGUCCACAUCGUGAAAGGACAUGUAGCUUAGGUCUUGAGUUUUCAGUGAUAAGCGGUGUUUUUGUCGACAACAAGGCGAGUGGUAAUUUUGUCUAGAGGUAAGGUUUACGUGUGUGCGCUUAUAGGGGUGAGUGUGCGUAUGUUUAAAGUUAGCAACACCAAAUUUGUAUGUGUUGACGUGUGUAAAGAUGUAGUAGUGCAUUGUAUCUUUAACUGAAUUUGAAGUUUGAAGAAAAUGAACUGACUUGUCACUUUUGAGACUUUAGAUUGUUUUCACUUGCAUGAAACUUGAAAGAUACAUGUACGAACAUGCGGUUUGACCGUUUGACGCUUGAGCUAGUGAAAUGGUAAACCCAAUACGGUGAACUCAGAAUGCAAUCAUAUGCAAGAACAGCUCAACUCCACCUAGUCUUGCAGGAGACCGAAGUACAAUUCAGCACUUCGUUUUCUUAGUUCUUCCACGGCAUGGUCAACACCUACAAGACAAGACUGUUGAAAUGGAAAAUUUCUUUGAGACCAUCUUUUGAAAAAGAAUUUCUGAUCAAAUGGGGCACCAACCAAACCAAUUAGGAAAUCGUGAGCAACACUAAGAUCUCAAUGUUUUCAUAACAGGCUAAAAUUAAAUAAGCUACGAACUAUGCAAACGAACCAGUGAUUCAGCUAGUUACAAGGUGUUUUCAUAGUAUUAGGUCUUGUUUGGAUAUUAUCGGAUUCAUCUCAAUUCAUAUCUGUUAGGGUGGAUUGGUGUGAAAUUUAGUUUAAGUUCUACUUUAAUCCACCCUACACAUGUGGAUCGUUGUGAAUCCGAUUACAUCCAAACCUAGUUUGAUACUACUUAUGGAAUGGAAAAUAUUUUCUAAAUGGAUCGGAGAAAGAUGCAGCGUCAUUGUGAAAACUUAAAACUUGAACGUGGUUCUGAAAUUUCAGUGGUGUCUUUGCCUGUGUUAGGCUAAUUUCUGAAGAUAGGGGAAUGAAUUCUGCUGUCACAGGUCAAGGUCAAAUGGAAUAACUUCUAAUUAACUACUUAAAAACGAGAAGAUUUCACAUUCUCUCUGACUUGAAACGUUUAGGCUCAAAAAUAGAUCAUUUCAAAAAAUUCUGUAUAUGAAGUUAGGGGCUGUUAGCAGCCAGCACCUUUAUGAUGAUGAUAGGAAGUGCAGGAAUUGGGCUAGCGUCGUCACGAGCAAGAAGGCCCAGAAGCUUAGAAGAGCUAACCCGUUUGUAUCCGUCACAGCAUCGUUGUCAAGGGCGUCAAGCCCCCGACGUGCAGGGCCUCGGCUACGGAGCUCGUAGCCGUCGGCCGUCUUCUCCGAUGAGGUUAUGUCCCUCUACCGCAGGCUUAGGGUUUAGAGAAGAGAUAGGAUAAUAAUCUUUGCUUGCCUCCAAUGUUCACGGUUACAGAAUAUAUAAGGCCUUAGCCCAAACUAAUAGGGGUAACAAAUCCCCUUAAAACCAGGAAUAGAUAAUAGCAAAUAGAAACUAGAAAUAUCUUUCCUAAUCUUAUUCACCUAGGGCAUCACGCCCAGGCUCGCGCUCCACGCGUUCACGCGCGCGACGAACGUCCCCCCCCCCGUCGAGGUUCAGCUCGUCCUCGAGCUGGAAGGUAGGGUGCUUGACGAGGAAUGUGUCGACGUCUUCCCAUGUGGACGAGGCUGCAGACUCGCCUUUCCACUUGAUCAGCACCUGACGGAUGCCUCUGGCCAGGCGAUAGCGCACCGCGCGCUCUGGUUCAGGUGCAAUGGCGCCAUGGUGCACCUGCGGUAGAGGCGGAGGUGCUGUCGGAGGUGGCCCUUGGAACUUCUUGAGCAGGCCGACAUGAAAAACAUCGUGAAGGCGCGCGUUGGGCGGCAGGGCGAGGCGAACAGCGACCUCGUUGAUGAGCUCCACGACUUGGUAGGGCCCAUAGAAGCGCGGCUUAAGCUUGCCCUUCGUUCGCUGCUGCAGGGAGGAGGCCGCACGCUGGCGAAGGCGCAGAAGGGCCCAGUCGCCCACCUCAUAGGUCACUGGACGAUGACCAGCGUCGUAGAAGCGCUUCUGGACCGCCUGGGCCUAUUCAAGGCGGUAGCGGAUGUCGGCGAGGAACUCCUCGCGUUCCUCUAGGGUCUUGUGGCGACAGCAGCAACCCUGGUUUCACCAGGUUCAUAAGACCGGAGCGACGGAGGGUCCCGACCAUACACCACACGAAAGGGGGUGUCGCGGAGCGAAGACUGGUAGGCGGUAUUAAAGACAAACUCCGCCCACGGAAGCCAGCGUAGCCAUUGCCGAGGACGGUCACCUGUGAGACAGCGCAAGUACAUGAUAAUGACUCGGUUAGCAGCUUCAGAUUGGCCGUCCGACUGAGGGUGGAAGGCCGUUGUCAUCUGCAGUUUGGUGCCUGUCAAGCGCAUGAGUUCACGCCAGAACGCCGAGGUGAAAACUGGGUCACGGUCAGACACCAUGGACUGGGGAACGCCGUGGAGGCAAACAAUGUCGGCGAAGAACGCUUCGGCGGCGGACUCCGCAGUGUACGGGUGUGCCAAUGGGACAAAGUGGCAGUACUUGCUGAAACGAUCGACCACCGUCAGGAUUACCGGCUUGCCACGGACGCGGGGUAGAGCCUCGACGAAGUCCAGGGCGAUGUCCGUCCAAAUGCCUUGCGGCACCGGGAGGGGCAGCAGGAGCCCGGCGGGUUGCAGGUGCUCUGAUUUAUACCGUUGGCAGACAACGCAGACUCGAAUAAGCUCCUGCACAACAUGUUUCAUGUUAGGAAAAUGGAAGUCGCGGCGGAGGCGGUGUAAAGUGCGUUGGACACCCUCACGUCCGUCCUCGUGCACUGCCAGCACAAGUUCCUGCAGCAACGGCGAGCCUGGGGGAAUGUACAGGUGGCCGCUGUACUGCACCAUGCCGUCCACCACGGACCAGGGCAUGCUGCGGGCGCCACUGCUGAUGUCUUCCCGAAGAGCGACCAUGGCCGGGUCUCCCGCAUUGGCCUGGCGAAGCCGUGUGAUGAAGUCAAAACGGGGAGCCGAGAGUGCCAGCACCGCGCCUGCUGUCUCCUCUUCUGUAUCACGGCGGGACAGCGCGUCGGCGACCGUGUUUGUCACAUCCGGUUUGUACUCGACGGAGAAAUCGAACCCGAGGAGCUUGCCCACCCAAUGGUGUUGCGGGAUCGUCAAGAGCCUCUGGUCGAGCAGAUAUUUGAAGCUGUAGUGGUCGGUCUUCACAACGAAACGACGCCCCCACAGGUACGGCCGCCAGUGACGUACUGCGUGGACGAGGCCGAUGAGCUCCCGUUCGUAGGCGGCGAGGGCACGGUGGCGUGGUGCGACCGGUCUGGUGAAAAACGCAAUGGGAUGCCCAUCCUGGAUCAGAACAGCUCCAAAGCCAUGGGUCGAUGCGUCACACUCCACUGUAAACGGCUUGGCGAAGUCCGGCAUGGCGAGGACGGGGGCCGAGGUGACCGCGGCCUUGAGAGCGUCGAAGGCGUAGGCCGCGGCGUCGGUCCAGGUGAAACCGUCCUUCUUGAGUAGGGCGGUGAGUGGGGCGGCGACCGCGCCGUAGUUGAGGACGAAUUUGCGGUAGUAGCCGGCAAGGCCGAGGAAGCCGCGCAGUGCGCGGACCGACCGAGGCACAGGCCAGUCGCGAAUGGCCUGCACCUUCUGAAAGCCCUAGUUUGGUUUUGGAUAAUUGAUGAAACCCUAAGUACUAACCUCUAUACUAAGUGUGUGUAGACUUAAUAAGGUUGGUACAUGCCAAGUGAUGGAGCAAGUGAUGAUCAUGGUGAUGAUGGUGAUGAGCACAAGAUGAUCAAGUGCUCAACUUGCAAAACAAGAAAGAGAAAAACAAAACCCUAUGGAGUUCAAGGCAAAGGUAUUGCUUAGGGUUUUGGCUUUGGUGAUCAAGACACCAUAGAGGGUGUGAUCACAUUUAGGAUAGAUAGCCGUACUAUAAAGAGGGGAAUUCUUUGGCUAAGCGGUUAUCAAGUGCCACUAGGUGUCAUUGUUCAUGUGCAUGCAUUUAGAACCUAGUGAGCUAACUUAACUCCUUCAAAGAAAAUGAUUGUGAAAAUGCUAACACACGUGCACGCUCGUUGGUACACACGUUGUGGUGUUGGCACAUUUUGAGAAGGAGGUGGAGUUUCAAGGGUAGAGAGGGGAUGGGUUCCUCUCUCCCUCCCGCCGAGCUUGCGAGGCGGGAUUCGGCGCUUUUUGAGAAAAUGAAGUGCAUAUUUUCUAUUGCGCCGGUGGAAAAUUUGGAGAAGUCGCGGGAGUGUUUCUCGCUGAGAAAACACUCACCGGACGCUGGCCACUGAGGCACCGGACGCUAAGUCUGAGCGUCCGGUGCAGACAGUGCCUAGCCCAGCUAGGGUAAGGCACCGGACGAUAGGCACCGGACGCUGGCUUGAGCGCCCGGUGGUGCGCGUCCGGUGUGCGGGCGUCUUGGCGACCCUCUCUGCGCACGAGUCCGGUGAGCACCGGACGCUCAGGGUGCGUCCGGUGGCUAGCGUCCGGUGUCCCGCAGGUUUGCGGAACUCUCUACGCAUGAGUCCGGUGUGCACCGGACGCGUCCGGUGCUAACUUGCUCAGCGUCCGGUGCACUGCAGGUGACCGUUAGACUCUGACACGCGGCUGACGUUGGAGCACUGGACGCUGGUGCUGAGCGUCCGGUGACCCCGCAGUUUGCCCAGUGAAAGAGCCAACGGCUCUAUUUGUUUGAGGGGUCUAUAAAUACGUGUUUGGCCGGCUUGAGGCUUACUCUCUUGGCAUUCUAACAGACAUAACAUUCUUGUGAGCCUAAGCAAACACCUCCCACUCAUCUCCUUCAUAGAUUAAACAUCUUUGUGAGAUUGGGAGUGAUUCCAAGUGCAUUUGCUUGAGUGAUUGCAUCUAGUGGCACUUGGGGAUCGUUCUAGCUGCGGUUUUCUUGUUACUCUUGGUGGUUGCCGCCACCUAGACGGCUUGGAGCAGCGGAGGAGGAUUGGCACGAGUUGGUGAUUGUUCGUGGCCAUCUCCCGGUGAUUGUGAGGGGUAUUGUACCUUCCCCGGCGGAGAGCCGAAAGGUAACUCUAGUGGAUUGCUCGUGUCAUUGAGUUACCUCACUUGUGGGUAGGUUCUUGUGGUGUCCUAAUGAGGACGAGGUUCGUGCUACACCUCUUAGCCACCGAACCACCAAGUGUUGGUCGACACAACGGGGACGUAGCGUGCCGGCAAGCACGUGAACCUCGGGAGAAAAAUCGGUGUCUCAAUUGUGUUUGAUUGGCAUUCUCCCGGUGUUUGAUUGUUUAUAUUGGAGAUUGGUUCAUCCCCUACACGGCGGUAUAAAUAUCUCAUCUUAUCUUUACUUACCGCAAACUAGUGUAAUUACUUUAGUUGCUUACUUUGACUUGUGUAGCUUAGUUCUCUAGUGUAACUUGUAGAGACUUAGUUCUUGUGUGCAUAGAGAUCUUAGCAACUAGAAUUGUUGGGUAGGUGGCUUGCAAACACCCCUUUAGAGCUAGAGCAAAAAGCUUCGCUUUGUUAUUUACUAACCUUUUGCUCUAGUGAGUUUGUAGAUUUUUUAAAUAGGCUAUUCACCCCCCCCUCUAGCCAUAUUAGGACCUUUCACCUUCGUCGGGUCCAUCGCGACGCCCUCCGCUGAAAUCACAUGGCCCAGGUAGGCUACCGUGGCCUCGCCGAACGCACACUUGCUGCGUUUGAUGAAAAGCCGAUGGCGCCGCAGCUCGAAGAAGACAGCACGCAGGUGGCGAAGGUGAUCGGCCCACGUCUCACUGUAAAUAAGGAUGUCGUCAAAAAAGACAAGCACGAACCGUCGGAGGAACGGCCGGAGAACAUCGUUCAUCAACGCCUGGAAUGUGGCCGGAGCAUUGCAGAGACCGAACGGCAUGACGAGGAACUCAUAGAGUCCAUUGUGGGUCCGGAACGCCGUCUUGUGGACGUCGGCGGGCAGCAUGCGUACUUGGUGAUAUCCGGAUCGCAAGUCGAGCUUGGUGAAGAAGCGGGCGCCAUGCAGCUCGUCCAGCAACUCGUCGACCAUAGGGAUCGGGAAGGCGUCCUUGACGGUGAGGGCGUUCAAGGCCCUGUAGUCGAUGCAGAAACGCCACCCGCCGUCCGCCUUCUUGACGAGAAGCACCGGGGACGAGAAAGCGGAGUCGCUGCGCCGAAUAAUGCCUUGUUGCAACAUGGUCGCGCAUUGCUUCUCCAAUUCGUCCUUGUGGGCAGCAGGGUACCGGUAGGGCCGGACCGCUACUGGCUGUGCGCCGGCCUUGAGGUUGAUGGCGUGAUCGCGGGCGCGCUGGGGAGGCAUGCCGUGGGGCUCGGCGAAGAUGUCGACGAACUCCGCCAGUAGUGCAUCGAGGAGGGGCGCGCUGGACGUCGUGGCGCAGGUCUCCAGUGUACUCGUGGGCGCCACCCCGGGCCAACGGACGGUGCUGCCCUGAUGCUGGAAGGUGACGGAGCCAUCUACGAAGUCCCACACCAGGCGGCCCAGCGUGGCCAUCCACUGCGUCCCCAGCACCAAGUCGUGGCCUGCAAGGGGCAUAACAAAGAGGUCGACGGCGAAAACGGAGUCGUGGAUCGCAAUUGGGGCAUGCUUGAUGACGCCUAGGCACGGCACCUUCUCGCCAUUGGCCACCAUGGCAGUGAGGCGCGGUUGGGACUGGAUGGGAAGGCCAGACCGCGCUGCUGCUGUCUCGGCAAUGAAGUUGUGGGUGCUGCCUGUGUCGAGCAGGGCAAUGAGUGGAGUUGAGCCCACUCGGACACGGACCUGCAUGGUCCUGCCCACAGACACGCCAACAACGGCGUGCAGAGAAAAUAUCGGCGCCUCCUGCGCCACUGCGUCUGCGGCUGCAUCGGUCUCUUCCGCCUGGGCGUCGUCAAUCUCCAUGCCUUCGAGGAAGAACAGACGCUUACAGAAUCGGUUGUGGCCGCGGGAGAACUUCUCAUUGUAGUUGAAGCACAACCCUUGGCGUCGGCGCUCGGCCAUCUCCUCGGGUGUCAGACGGCGCUGGUUGCCCUCGGCGUGGCCCUGUUGUGCAGCCGCGGGCGGCGCUGGUAGGGCCAAGAGCGGCGGCGGCGGUGGCAGGGCGGCCCUGGCCGCAGGCGCCGACAGGCCGCGCGGGGGCGCCCUUGAUGGAACAGGCGCCGGAUGCUCCAGCUCCAUCAACUCAACCUGGCGAGCCAAGCUGAUGGCGGCGGCGAGGGAGUCCGGGUUGUGGAGGCGGACGGUGCUGCUUAGCGGUGGUCGGAGCCCGCCAGUAAAGAGCUGCACCCGCUGCGCUUCGUCGAGUCUGCCGGCGCGAGGUAGGAGGGCCUGGAACCGGUUAGCAUACUCCUCCACGGUUCUUGUGCGGCGGCACUCCGCGAGCUCAAACAUUGGGGCGGAACGGAGUGGAGGGCCGAACCGCAAAUUGAGGAGAUCCUUGAAGUUAACCCACAUUGGCGUGCCCUCAUCGUCUUGUAGUUGGAUGAACCACAGCUGCGCAGCGUCGUCCAGAUGGUAGGACGCCAUGCGCACGCGCUCUUCUGCCAUGGUGCGAUGUUGGCGGAAGUAGGCCUCGCAUUUGUUGAGGAAUAGCAUCGGGUCGGUCGUGCCGUCGAAGUGGGGAAAGUCCCACUUCUUAUGCUUCGGGUGGAAAUCUUGCUCGCGGUGUCCUUCAGGGCGGCGGUUCUCGCUGCUUUCGUCCGUCGAGGCCUUCUCUUUGAUGGAGGCGAUGUCGGUCUUCAGCGCUGAGAUCUCGGCCGACAUGGUCUUGAUCUCCUUGAGGAGAUCGGCGAGGGUUGGUUCGGCCAUGGAGGGCUGCGAGGUGUGCGUGGCAGAGGGAGAUGGCGGCGGCUGGUGGUGGGCGGGUGUGGCAGCGGUAGAUGGCUCAGAACGAGCGCGAGAGGAGCGGCUGACUGCUGAUACCAGGUUGUCAAGGGCGUCAAGCCCCCGACGUGCAGGGCCUCGGCUACGGAGCUCGUAGCCGUCACCCGUAUUCUCCGGUGAGGUUAUACCCCUCUACCGCAGGCUUAAGGUUUAGAGAAGAGAUAGGAUAAUAAUCUUUGCUUGCCUCCAAUGUUCACGGUUACAGAAUAUAUAAAGCCUUAGCCCAAACUAAUAGGGGUAACAAAUCCCCUUAAAACCAGGAAUAGAUAAUAGCAAAUAGAAAUUAGAAAUCCAAAGUUAAGCGUAUGCUAGGUGAGCCAUCAGGCACAGUCAGUUGCAGAUAGUACCCGUUUCCUGUAUUGACAAUUGUUUGGUACAUCGUGAAACUUGUGUUGUUUUGGAAUAUGCCAUGUACCAAUUCACCACCCCAUGCGGCUCUUCUCCAGUACGGCUGUGUCCCAUUCCAAGCGACAAUCUGGAGAUCUGAGCUAGGGUCGCCACCCAAGGAGAAAUCACUGCUGGAUGGGUCAUCAGGCCCCUUCCAGGCAACAAGGCGUGUAGCACCAUAAGCUACGCUCAGUGAAAAAUUUACAUUGGGGACAACUGUGUCAGUCGGGUAAUUGAAGCUCUGCCAUAUGUCAGUGCCAUUUGGCGACCGGAUAACCAAGUUCCCCGAGUCGAGCAGGAUGGAAGCAGUUUCACCGCCUCCUGUGGUGCUGUUGUUUGUCGUCAUCCAGAUCGUGCGGCCUGUGGAGUCUAACAAGACAAGGUCAGAACUGUUGGUAAAAACUAGCUUCCCAGGCAAAUUGGUGGUAAUUGGGUUGUCGCGGUUGGCAAUCCACACGUAUGUGCGCCCAGGGAUGUUGUUGUACCAUAUUCCGACAUAAGAGCUUGAAGAGUUCUUCAGGGAGAAGAAGCCAAGAGCAAAGACACCACCGUCUGAGAUGAGCACCUCGCUGGGCAAGAGUGGCUUUGCAGGUGUUAGCCUGUCAUCGGAUUGGCACAAGACAACCAUGAACAGGAAGAUGAAAAUGGGGAGGUAAGCCAUGGCCACUAGGCCUUCCUUAGCAAGUUGGUAUAUGGUUGUGGAGAACACAACAAGGAGAUAGCACAAUGGUAGCUAAGAAUGAACCCUCGGACAGUUCAACUCCAAGGAGUAGAAAAUGGCACGGAUGCUCAGACUUUUCUGUCCCUCCAACUCAGUCGCUGUUCUGGUCAGUUGUCAAAUUCACAUGGAAAAAGGGGAACAAUCCAGCUCGCUUAGGUCUUGUUUGGAUGUCGCCGCAUUCACCUCAAUCCACAUGUGUUGAGGUGGAUUGGGGUGGAAUUUAGUUUAUGUCUCACUCCAAUUGACGUCAACACAUGGGUUGAUGUGAAUCCAACUGCAUAAGAAAGGACGUUAAGAAAAAUUAGACUAGGAUAGUCCAGUUGUCGUAUGUUGAAGCUCAUAUUUCAGGUGCAUACUAAGGAUGAAGGGAUACAUUUAUUCGGUUAUUUCCUGACUGUAGAAACAUAGGAUAACAGCAAGACCAUCAAGUUUGGAGAUCCAAUGCUUGAAGAAAUCCAAGAUGUGUGUGACGAAGUAGCUGAUGCUGACACUCGCUACCUGCUCGCCUCAUAGGUCAAAGCUGUCAUUCUAGCACAGCCAUCAGUGGAUUAUUCAGCGUUGCGACAGGUCUACCGUGGGAAAUUAAAGACCAAGAAAAGCAUUGGCUUGUGUGUGAUCGUGCUAGUGCCACAUCAGUCUACAAAUAUACUUCUAGCUAGCUGGAAAUUGCACAGAAAUUGCUGCUGGUCUGUGCAAGGAAAGGCUAGGUUGAGAAGUAACGGAAGAGGGAGAUGCUAAGAAUCAGGUUACCGUCAGGCGGAGCUCCAAACUCCCAAGAGAUAGUAGCUUAACGCGGUCGGGAAGGGCGACGGCAUCAGCAUUGGGGGCCCAGGGCAGAUGUCCCAAAGAUUUCGGAAGGUUUCCGACCUUACGUCCCGGCCGGGGGUGGGCACCAUUGCCAAUGGUAGGCGUCGCAACUAGAGGCGUAGGCGUGGCCGGCGGUAGUGGCGGGGCAGUGGGCUAGGAUGGCGGCGAGGUAAAGGGAAGGAAGAUGAGAGGCAUGCUGUGGCUGCGGCGGCGGCAUGACCGACGGGCGGCGUGGGUGCCGCAGUGCCGGCAACUUCCGCCGUUCUGUUCCGCACGACGGGGUUCGGGGUAUUUGGGGUUUAGCUGGGCUGCUAUCGUAUCGUAUCGUAUGGGUCCCCACAAAAUGGGCUCGCGCUGUUCCGGGAGGCCGUGGGCUUGGAAGGGCACUACACGGCAAAGCCACCGUCAGCAUGGGCCCAUUAGGCUUUGGAGGAAGCACGCGUUCACCUUCCUUUUGGGCCGGUUUGCGGAGGCGGCGGUGGGGUGGCCAUUGGCGAAGCGGCGGUCGGCGGAGGACUGGAGCUGGUUCGGGGCCGAGGCGGAGGAGCCGCAGGCGCAGCCGCGCUAGAAGUCAGGAAUCAGGAAGAGAGGCAAGAGUCGUGGUCCUUCAAAACGUCGUCGUACGCUUUCUCGGUCCUUCACGAGUCGUGUUCCGGUAGACAAACAGUCGCCGGCUCGCCGCCCCUCUCUUCACGCGGUUCGACGCCGUUCGCCACGGUCGCCAUCUCCGCCGCCGCCGCCGGAAACUUGGCAUCUUCGCCGAUCUCGUUCUCCCCUUUUCCCACCCAGGAGGCAACAUGGUACGUUGGGGAUCUAACCCUAGGGGCUUCGCUCUAUUCCCUCCUUCCCCCUUUCCGAAUCUCGGGGGCCCUCCCUCGGAAUAUUUGCCCACCCCUGUCCUAAAUCCAUGCCGGUCGGGGGCAUGAUGUGAUGCUUUGUUAUUCGCCGGCGGUUCGAUUGUUUGACGGAUUGGUUCUUUUGGUUCUCUGCAGUCGUCGCUCGCUGCGGCGAGAGCGGAUAACUUCUACUACCCGCCGGAAUGGAGCCCCAAGAAGGUACGGAUCUCUUCGUCGAUGAAACAUCGUGUAGCCUCUUCAUUUUGGUUUAUUAUAUGUCCUGUGGUCGCUGAUUCGUUGCCGCUGUUGCUCAUGUUUGUUCUUGAUCAGGGUGGGUUGAACAAGUUCCAUGGACAGCAUGCGCUCAGGGAGCGGGCGAGGAAGCUCGACCAGGGCAUCCUGAUUAUAAGGUUUAUUUUCUUCUGAAAACAUUACAAGGAUGUGAUGUUAGAUUAUGUACACCAGGGAUCCAGAGCCAAGCAUAUUGAUUUAAAAUCAAUUAACACAAAACAUUACACAUUAACAUAUAUAAUUGCAAAUUCUCUGAACCCCACAGGCUCCACAGGGAUCCGCCACGACCUCUCUGUGUAUGUCCAUGUGUUUGCUUGUUUGUAUGAUUUUGGGGUGGGGUUUGAUGGUGGGACAUUGGGGGGGAAGGGUGCUGUAAAUAACAAAUAGAGAGGUAGAGGACUGACAUGUAUGGAUGAACACUUAUGCCAACAAGUUCAGGAAGGUUCUUCCUAAUCCUUUCCUAUUAAUAAGUAUUAACUUGUCGUUUUUUUAUUGCCUUUCGAAGCAUUAAACAUCCUUGAACAACAGUUGGCAGAUUGAUCCUACUCUUAUGUGCCUUUUCCUUAAAUUUGAUGCAAUUCACUCAGAUUGCCUGUGGCUGAAAGGCAGGGUACCACUGAAUGGUGUAUCACAUUUACCAAAGAUAUGCUUAUUGAAUUUUUGAAAGUGGCUGAUAGAUGAAGUAAACAUAUGCACGUCACUGUUGAUUUUGCUUAUUUGCAUGGGAUUAGAUAUUUCUUUUGCAAAACCAUUAUUCUAGUUUUUUUUUUCAUCCAUUGGCUUAUUAUACACUUGAAAUGAUCUUGCAGAUUUGAGAUGCCUUUUAACAUUUGGUGUGGUGGAUGCAAUUCCAUGAUAGCGAAGGGAGUAAGAUUUAAUGCUGAGAAGAAACAAGUUGGAAAUUAUUACUCUACCAAGGUACUUGACUGAUAACUGUACAGCUUUUUACUUACAGUUACAGUGCUAUGCACUGUUGCUGUUUGACAAUCUCCAACAUGUGAUGAAGCAUAAGAUGACUUCUCAUUUUUUUAAUUGAUUGGUAUUUGAAAAUCUGCUGAAUUUCCUUCGACAUAGGCUAGAUUCAGCCUAAUUAUUUACUUAUCAACCGAGUAUAUUGGUUUAGCUUCAACCAGGAACCAAACUGAAGCACCCAUCGAUAUUCACCUCACAUUUUUUCCUAGACUAUCAUCCUUUUCUGUCAAAUAUAAUAUACCUCACAUGGUCAAUCGUAUUCAGAAUGAUUAGUAAAUUUUAAAGUAGAAACAAAUUAUUUUUGGAAAAAGGGUUUAGCAUCAAACCAAGGGCAAAACUGAGGCAUGUGAGAAUGAUUAGUAAAUUUUAAAGUAGAAACAGAUUAUUUUUGGGUUUAGCAUCAAACCAAGGGCAGAACUGAGGCAUGUGUACUGUAGAUGUUGGUGUUGAGGUUGCCAACUAAGUUCUCUUUAAAUGUCUGAGUGAUGUGCUUCAUACCUUGUGCUUUCCUUAAAAUGUAUUUGUAAGUUCUUGAACUGAGAAAUAACAUUUAUUAGAUUAAUUUGUGUGCAAUAGGAAUAUAGGAUUCAACAUUACCUGAACCACUGUUAGGCAAAAUGGGCCACCAUAUCUUUCUGAUCUGCAUGCCUCUGUUAGUUGUGAAUCAUGAUUAAUAAAUUCAGCCAUAAAAUCUGCUCGACUACGAACCAUUGAUCAUUGAUGGGAACAUGUCCGCCAAGUUAAUUAUGGUUGUAUUCUUCAGGAGUUACAACCAGUUAACCUAGUAUUGAUGAUUAAUGUUAUUCUUCAUUCAAAACAAAUGGUCGAUGACCAAUUUGUGAAAAACAUCUGCUAAUGUUGUCUUGUGUCAUUAGAUAGAGUGAUAGACCAUAUUAUCCUUGCUAUAGGCUUCAUUGUAUCGUCGUUUGGCCAAUUUUCUUUCAAAACUUUGACAAUGUUGAAGAUAGCGACUCAACCUUCCGAAUUAACAAAUUAACCUGUGAGCUUCAGACCUGAGUGUUGCUUGUCUUUAAUAACAAAUCAUUAACAUAAGAUAAUUUUAUUAAACUUCUUUGAGUCUGACUGAUGUUCAGUGCUGCUGUUACCAGUCACAAAAAUUUGCAAAAACUGUGUUGUUGAGAAAUGACGAACUGUAGUAUUGGUACACUUAACUGCUAAUUUUAAGUACCAUGGCUUGAAAAUGCUCCAAGAUCCAACAGGCCCUUGAGGAACUUACCCUUCGAAAUGUGAUAUUUCAGUUCUGUUGUUUAAAGCUUUAAUAGUAUGAUAUCUUUAGUUAUUUUAAUUUCUGCCUUAAUCCUUUUCCUGAACAAGGUUUAGACAGAUACCAUAGGUUCUCCAAAUGACAGCACAUACAAAUGGAAUAUCAGAUGAAUGAAUUUGUCUCUAAGUUUAAUAUGGUCUGUUAACUAAUCACAAGAUUCUUUUUAGAUUUGCACUUCCACAGCAGCUUAAAAGUAAGUGUGCUAUGGAUAUUAACUGUAACCUUGACUUGAUAUUCAUAUUAAACCUAUGUGGGUGUGUGACCUGCAUCCAUUUCUCGUUUAAUAUAUCAAUUUAUUUGUUUAUUCUGAAAUGUGGCCCUACUUUGUGGGUUCCACUGUCAUUUGAUGUAAUAAUAACAAGAUCCUUUGUUUUAUUGUAUAUUCUGUCUUCUUGCCUAUAUUCAGUUUUUUUUCUCAGAAAAAAUUCUUGUGUGGUAAAAAUAUGUUUUAUGCAGUAGCUUUUAAUUCCUUUUAGGUUUAUGUAGAAUCAUUUACUAAAGUGUGUAUACUAGUUCUGUAGAAAGAUUAUAUGCAGUAGAAAAGGACUGAGUCCUAACUUGGUGCAAUCUUUAGCCAUAUCACUGUAGAAGGUCUGCAAUGUUGUAUAAUACAUGCUAACAAACUUCAUUUGUUCUCUUCUGAAAUGUGAGAAAUUCUUAAUGCCUAGAGCUUUCCAUAUAUUUCAGUUGCUUAAUUUCACAUGUUCUUCUAAAUCACUUUCUCCCUAUGCUGUUCUGACAUUGUUUAACAAAUGUUUAUUUGACAGAUAUGGAGCUUCACCAUGAAAUCACCCUGCUGCAAGCAUGAAAUUGUCAUACAGACAGACCCAAAGAAUACUGAAUAUGUCAUAAUCAGUGGGGCCCAAAAGAAAACAGAAGAUUUUGAUGUUGAGGACGCAGAGACAUUGCUGCUGCCAGCAGAUGAAGGUUCAACCCUGUAAAGAUUUAUUAUAUUCAUGAGAAACCCUUGUUUAAAAUGCAUGAUGUUUAUUUAUGGAUCUUUCCUCAGAUCGAGACAAGCUUGCGGAUCCUAUGUAUCGGCUUGAACACCAGGAAGAGGAUCUUCGGAAGAAAAAAGAAGCUGAGCCAGUUUUAGUUCGCCUUCAACGACUCUCUGACAGCCGUCACUCUGAUGAUUAUGCUCUGAACAGAGCACUGCGCGACCGUCUUAGGGUCAUCCAAUGAAUUCCUAUAAAUUAAUCAACUAUGCUCACCAUAGGCUAUGCAAUCACCACAUUUCUUAUCCACCUGUUUGUGUUUUUAUGUAGAGCCAAAAAAAGAGAGUUGCUGAAGAGAAGAAGUCCGCGAGAAAGAUGGGCCUCGGAGUGCGGCUCUUGCCUCCCUCUGCAGCUGAUGCCGCCGCGGCGGCUUCAGUGAAGUUUGCAUCAAGAUUUGAGAAGAACAGAAAGGACAAGAGAGCAGCUAUCAAAGCUGCUUCCAUCUUCCCUGAGUCAUCGAGCUCAGCAUCAAAUUGUAAACUCGACCUCGUGCUGAAGAGGCGGAACAUAAAAGCUGGCGCGGCCACCACACUGAUGGCAGGCAGGGUGAAGCCAUCCUCCUGGCAGAGCGCCAGUUCCGCGAGCUCAAGGACCCGGAUGCCGGUUCUGGCAGCGCGCAAGUAGGCAGCCCAGGCUUUCAAGCUUGAGAAAUACUUGCACUGUGCGGGAAGUAGCUGCCUGGUUCUAUAUGAAUUAUGAUGGAAUGUACGUGUUAUAGCUUUUAAUGUUACUAUGGUUUUUUGGUUGUAUCAUGGUAGUAUACCUAAAGGAUUGUGUAGGGUCAGGAACGAACGUGUAAAGUAAUGUUACCAUUGUUUUGGUUUUUUUGUGACACAGUUGUCAUUGUUUUUUGCUGUAUACUGGUUGGGACUUGAGAUUACCUGGUAAUGGGCCAGCAUCCGUACUGAAACUGCACCAAUCUAUUUUGAACAUACAAGUACAGUAAACCCACCCCGCGCACCAUUUCUUCGGCUGUGGAAACCACACCAAACCCAUUUGCCAUGGGGUCUCCUUUUGCUGCCCGUCGGCAGUGCACGCGGCCGGAGAGCUGGGAAUCGGCCCUGCGAGGCAGUUGUGGUUUCGUAGGAUCCCCACCUGUCGUUGCUGCUUCCGUGGAGUUGGACUUGAACACAAUCUGCUCAGAGCUCAGACGCGGCUGCAAGCAGCGCAGGCGGCAGCUUCAGCGGCGACAAAGCAGCCGAAGAUGGAGAGCGUCCGGAGGUGCAGCAGGCCGCGCAGAUAGGCAGCGUCGAGGUUGAGCCCGGACUUGCACGGCGGGGUGGCGACGUCGGAGCCGAAAUGGAGGUGCGUGGUGUGGAACUGCGGCCACGGCGUGUCGGGGCAGGGCGGACGUGGUCCGCCAUCACACGGAAGACCACCCUCGGCAGCUCGGCGCCGGCGCGUCGACUUCGUCAGACGAACGGAUGAGUUCCACCGCCAGACCCGUCUUUUUUUUUUUCGUUCACCACUGCACCAUCACGAGCCGAGCGGAGCAGACACUUUUUUUUUUUUUUUUUUUUUGCCAAGCCAAAUUGGCUCGCUGGUCGUUGCCCGAAUGCUUGCUGUCCCCACCUGCUGGCCUCCACUCUUAUCUUUUUUCUGCCGUGAACAUUUUUCCCACUACUCGUAGCAAUCAAAGACCCACCCGCAGAAAGCUAGCCAGCCAAAGUGCCAACCCCCCAAACCCCCAUUAUAUCUACCACUAGCACUGCGAAGUGCGAGCGAAACUAAUCGCUCAAUUCUUCGUCGCCUCCUUCAUUUUGCCAGUUGCCACCAAAUACGCCGCGGCCGCUGCCUCACCCCGCUAGUCCGGCCGCCCUCCCCUCCUCGCAAGAAGCGUUCCUCCUGCCUGCAUCUUGGCUAGGUAACUGGUUCUACUUCCUUGUGUUCCUCCCUGUUUCCUCCUAUGUUUGGCCGGGCUCUGUGGUGCACUGGUGCUGUUCUUGGAUUUCUAGUUUUCCUGAAAGUUUUCUUUCUGCCUCCGAAUUUGGCCGCGGGAUCCCCAAAUUUGGGCUAUUUUUCUCUAUGAUAUGAUUCUUGCGGUGCCCGGUUGUUCAGUUCAGAAUUUAGAUUAUUGUUCAUACAGUCUCUACUUAGCAGGGUACAUGUUCUUACUUCGGCAAACCAAAUUCUAAUCCGCGACCGAUAGCGCUAGGCCUAUGCACUUUGUAGUCCUUAACCUCCUAAUGUAGCCCUUUCUCUUUACCUUAUGUUAUACUUUUUUUUUCUGUCGGUAGAACCCCUUGUUUGUGUUUUAUUUCUUUCUGAGGUGUCAGAGUUUACAUAUCCACCUUGAGUCAGUUCAUCGCUGUCCAUCUUAUCGAUAUUCACUAAUCCUUUUCUCUGAAAGGAACUACUAAAGUUGGAUUUCUUCUCUGUUCUUAUGGCAGGAUCUGUAUAUGCCUUUUUCGGUGAACAAGAACUGAAAGACUACUGUCCCGACCACCCAGCAAUUUGCCAGAUUCUUUCUUGCCCAAAACCCCAAAGAGAAAAGGCCCAAUGUUCUGCUAAGCUAGAGAUGUUCCUAGAGCCAGCCAUCUUAUCUUAUAGCUAAACUGCUGUAAAAA